rnacentral:tRNA from 1 species
UCUCUGAUGAUCCAGUGAUUAAGAUUCUGCACUCCCAGUGCAGGGGGCCCAGGUUCGAUUCCUGGUUAGGGAA